GACGAACCGAGCGAACGUUGUUCGGAAUCACUGGGCUUAAAGGGCGCGUAGGCGGGUUGUCAAGUCUGGGGUGAAAUCCCGCGGCUCAACCGUGGAACUGCCUUCGAUACUGAGAGUCUUGAGUCCGGGAGAGGUGAGUGGAACUGCGAGUGUAGAGGUGAAAUUCGUAGAUAUUCGCAAGAACACCAGUGGCGAAGGCGGACUCACUGGCCCGGUACUGGACGCUGAGGUGCGAAAGCGUGGGGAGCAACAGGG
rnacentral:rRNA from 1 species